CAACAUGGAAGUCAUACGCCCAGGCUGUGAGCAGGCCAACCCCCACUCUUACACUAGCCCAAGCCAAUGGAAUGUACCAGAUUCUCAGCAGGCUCUGCUCACACCUACUGGUCUGAGGCCAAACCACACGACCAACAACAGACACUUUAUGGAACACAAAGCAUUCACUCUCUCAUUCUGGAAUAUCCCCAGCCUGAGGUCAUCUGCCUUUGGCCUAAAGAGUAGAAACCUGGACUUCAUCAAAGAAAUCAGAAAUACAGACAUUGUCAUCCUACAAGAACCAUGGUAUAGAGGAGACGGACCCACUGGUUUCCCUCUAGGUUACAGAGAGCUGAUAGUCCCAUCCACCAAACUACCGGGGCGGCAGGGUAGCCUAGUGGUUAGAGCGUUGGACUAGUAACCGGAAGGUUGCGAGUUCAAACCCCCGAGCUGACAAGGUACAAAAAAACUGUCGUUCUGCCCCUGAACAGUUCAAUUCCCACCAGGCCGUCAUUGAAAAUAAGAGAGAACUAGUGGGUUGUUCCUGGUAAUAGGUGUGAGUGAACGGGUCUUAGUUUUGAAGUGUCAGCACAGAUGAUGUCCUAUGGGCCCAGGUGUUACCAGUAGUAAAGCUGGCAGCUGUGCUCUCUCACACUCCUCCAGGGCAAACAUAUUUUACCUUUAUAAGGAGCCCUCUCCUUUCGCCUGUUUUUGCUCAUCACGUGCCUGCUGGACCAAUAAAACACAGUGAAGUGUAGCAGCAUAUAUAUAAAUAAAUAAGAGAGAGAGAGAGACAGAACAACUGGAAGCAGCCAGUCAGCCAUCCGGAGUAAGAGUACCCUAACGUCCCCUUUGGCAUGAAAACAUCUGCCGUCUCACAACUGUUAUUUAAACUUUAAUGUCACCCGCCUCUCAGCCAAACGGGGUAAUCGCCGUUUCAGUUUGGCAAUGGGAUUUAAGGGAAACUGACGGAGAUAUCCCCCGGGCGUUGAGAGCUCUGUGAGAUACAUUCAUUAUGGAUGCUGCUGGCCCCUGGAUUUUCUGUCAGUGACACUUUGCUGAUACUUUGCAGUGGGGGACUGAUGGGAGAGGUAGGUAGAAGAGAGGGGGAGGGAGGGUGAGGAGAGAGGGAGGGUGAGGAGAGAGGGAGGGGGAGGGCGAGGAGAGAGGGAGGGCGAGGAGAGAGGGAGGGAUUAGAAAGAGGGGUUGUUCGAGAACUUCAUUCCUGUGUGGCGUAGAGGCUCAAACUACUACUACUCUCAAAGUUGCAUUAAAAAUCGACUUGUUCUUGCCAACUGACCCGUCAAAGUCAAGUCCCGAAAUUCCUCCACUCACCCAAAAUCCUAAAACUGGGAGGAACUCAGUAGGGAAGCCUUGCAUAGAAAGAAGAGACAGAAGAUUAGCAGUCCCCCAAUGCUUCUGCAUAAAUCACGUCAACAUCAGCAAACAUGACAUUGUCAUAUGCCAGUGCAUCUCAAAACAGUCGGGUUGGAGGAAGUAUAGAAAUAGAAUGACUAGAUUGUAUUUCGAAGGAGGCGUGGCUUCUUCACAGGGUUAAAGCACAGUCCCGUCAAAGGUCCAGUGGCAGUGUGUGUGUUCCUCUUUAAGUGAAUCUGUAUGGUCAUGCUCUGUAGGAAUGCUACCCUUGUCCCUAAUGUCCUGAGAUCUGACGGUUUCACACACUGCACACCACACUCCCAGACAAGCUUAGGAACUGUGCAGCCCAGUUAAUAAAUUCUCCCUGAACAAUUUGUGCCCCCGAAAUUACUUUUUUCCCCUCGCUGACAGACACUCAGAAAGCAAUACACACUUCCGUAAUGAGAGGCCAAAUGAGGACCCAUAAGCUGAAAUCCACAGCCACUUGAAAUGUGUCAUAAAUCAGGGCUGGGGGUUGAACCGAGGACACUGAUCUACUGUAAUGGAUACAAGACCAAACAAGGAAGAUCAAAUCCUGUCACUCAAUCGGUAAGUUUGCCGAUUUUUUCCCUCUCAGGUUAUUUUCCUUUCUUUUCACAGCUAGACUACAAACUUACUUCACAACAGGACAGCAUUUCACAACAAAAAAACUCUACCUUUGGGUGUUAAGCUUCAGUGCUCUAGUGGCAUGCUCGAGACAGCUUGGUUACCUAGCCUCUACUACCAUGGCAACAUGUAUUUAUCCCCCCCCCCCAUCUGUCUGUUUUGGGGAGUAAUCCUGCCAUUGUGGCCUAGACAGAAUUAACGCCACAAGGCAUCUCUGAAGGCUCCAGGUAAUACCCUGACACUCGCCUCAAUCAUCGUCCCAUCUCUAUAAAUGAUGCCGAGCCCAAAUGGACGAAACCCCCGUGCCUCGACAGAGAUCCGUCAGGAUGACGAGUCAUGUCCUCUCCGACACCAGAGGCGGGAAGAUUUGGAGCGCUGGACGCCACGUGGUUAUCCUGUUCCCAAAUGACCCUCUCAGCGGGCGAGUCUUCCGACAGCUGCCGAGCACAGCGUGACACGCUUACCAAACACAAAGGCGUGAAUGUCUCUCAGCAGAGGACCUCACAGCAUCUCCCUACAGGGAUAUCAUUCACUAGGCUGGAAGACAUCAGUCACACACAUUAGCCCUUUGGGAGCCACGACAUCAUUAAAAGGAAAGCAAGGCACAGUCAGAGACCCAGAUGCAAGGAAGGAGAGCGGUACUCAAAUAGUUCAGAAAGAAAAUACUCAUCUUAAAAAGUGUCAUCGUUCCCCAACCUGCAGUGUCUGAGUGCGUACGGCGCACUUCUUAUUUUUGGAGGGCUUUUGAAGGGUUGUUUGAAUAUUAAAAAAGCGGUCCGUUUCAAGCGGGCUCAUUAAGUGGUUCCUGUAAGAUGGUGCCACCUCACUAACAGGAAGUCACAUCAGCCCUCCUGGAGGACCAACAGGACAUCUAGCAUUCAACACAUCAAUAAAGACAACUAUAUCUACACACCCAGGAGGUACAGCACUGGCCCUGUUCACUACACAUCAAUAAAGACAACUAUAUCUACACACCCAGGAGGUACAGCACUGGCCCUGUUCACUACACAUCAAUAAAGACAACUAUAUCUACACACCCAGGAGGUACAGCACUGGCCCUGUUCACUACACAUCAAUAAAGACAACUAUAUCUACACACCCAGGAGGUACAGCACUGGCCCUGUUCACUACACAUCAAUAAAGACAACUAUAUCUACACACCCAGGAGGUACAGCACUGGCCCUGUUCACUACACAUCAAUAAAGACAACUAUAUCUACACACCCAGGAGGUACAGCACUGGCCCUGUUCACUACACAUCAAUAAAGACAACUAUAUCUACACACCCAGGAGGUACAGCACUGGCCCUGUUCACUACACAUCAAUAAAGACAACUAUAUCUACACACCCAGGAGGUACAGCACUGGCCCUGUUCACUACACAUCAAUCAAACAACAGGGGAGUGGAGGGACACUAACAGUGUGUCCAAAAUGGUGGACUACUUUGCACUAAAUAGGGAUUGGAUUCCCUGCAAUCAAAAGCAGUGCAUUAUAAAAAGGUCUCCAGUCAAAAGUAGUGCACUCUAUAGGGAAAUAGGGAGCCAUUAAGGAUGCACCCUAAAAAAGGAAUUGAUUUCCUAUCAAAUCAAAUGUAUUUAUAUAGCCCUUCGUACAUCAGCUGAUAUCUCAAAGAGCUGUACAGAAACCCAGCCUAAAACCCCAAACAGCAAGCAAUGCAGGUGUUGAAACAAGUUGGCUAGGAAAAACUCCCUAGAAAGGCCAAAACCUAGGAAGAAACCUAGAGAGGAACCAGACUAUGAGGGGUGGCCAGUCCUCUUCUGGCUGUGCCGGGUGGAGAUUAUAACAGAACAUGGCCAAGAUGUUCAAAUGUUCAUAAAUGACCAGCAUGGUCAAAUAAUAGGUCUGGGACAGGUAGCACGGUCAGGAACAGGUCAGGAUUCCAUAGACGCAGGCAGAACAGUUGAAACAGGAGCAGCAGCACAGCCAGGUGGACUGGGGACAGCAAGUAGUCAUCAUGCCAGGUAGUCCUGAGGCAUGGUCCUAGGGAUAUCACCACUGGUCCUUGCCCCCUCCCUCUCUCCCGCUCCCCCUCCC